UUUUAAUUAGGAUUUGAUCUUGGAUUUGAUGAAGAUUUAUUAAGAUUUAGAUUAAGAUUAAAUUAGAAAUGAUUAUGAUUUAUUUAAAAUUUAUUUAGAGUUUCUAUUUUUAGUAUUUUUAAAUAUUUUUGAUUAUUUUUUUAUAUUUUUUUUAAGAUUAUUAUUAUUUCUUUCAGAUUUUAUUUUUAUAUAUAUUUUUUGAUUUCUUUAUUAUACUUCUUUGAAAUUAAAAUAUGACUUCUUUGUGUUUCUUUUGUAACUUCUUUUAAAUUUAAUUUUUAUUGAU
rnacentral:lncRNA from 1 species